GUGAGUUAUGUUAGUCAGCUGUGCCAUGGCUGAGCCACUUGAAGCUAGGGAAGAGCAAUGGUGUGCUGAGAGCCCUGGACAAGGAUCUAAGAUGUUAGCUCCUUGUACAGCUGUGGAAAGUCACCUUCUUUAUUUAUGUGCUCAGUCGUGUCUGACUCUUUGUGACCCCAUGGACUAUAGUCCACCAGGCUUCUCUGUCUGUGGAAUUUUCCAGGCAAGAAUACUUGAGUGGGUGGUCAUUUCCUUCUCUGGAGGAUCUUCCCCUCCCAGGGUUGAACCCAUAUCUCCCGUGUCUCCUGCAUUGCAGUGGGAUUCUUUACCUGAUGAGCCAUUGGGAAAACCCAACCUUGUUUUUUCCUUCUAUAAAUCAAGGGUGGAAGAAACCCUUGGACUUCCCUGGUGGUACAGUGGAUUAGAGUCUGAUGCCAGUGCAGGGGACAUGGGUUCAAUCCCUGGUCCAGGAAGAUUCCACAUGCCUCAGAGCCUGCGUGUCACAACUACUGAAACCCAUACACCUGUGCUCCACAUCAAGCGAAGCCACUGCAAUGAGAAGCCAUUCCACUGCAAUGAAGAGUAGCCCCGGCUUGCUGCAACUAGAGAAAGCCUGCUCUCAGUAACAAAGACCCUGCGUAACCAAAAAUAAAUAAGU
ensembl:lncRNA